UACGUAGGGACCAAGCGUUGUUCGGAUUUACUGGGCGUAAAGGGCGCGUAGGCGGCAAAUUAAGUCAGCUGUGAAAUCUCCGAGCUUAACUCGGAACUGUCAGCUGAUACUGAUGUGCUAGAGUGCGGAAGGGGCAAUCGGAAUUCUUGGUGUGAGCGGUGAAAUGACUGUAGAUAUCAAGAGGGAACACCCUGAGGUGAAGACGGGUUGCUGGGCCGACACUGACGCUGAGUGCGCGAAGCCAGGGAGCAAACGGG
rnacentral:rRNA from 1 species